CACUCACCGAAGAGAAGCCACCGCCUUCUUCACCGCCACCAUUCCUAUUCUAGCUAAAAUUCUCCAUUGUUCUCGUUCUCUCACUCUCUCUCUGUCUAUCUCUCUCGCAUACACACACAAAACACGGCGCUAUCUUCAGUGGAACAACGUUGCAUCAAUUUCAAAGAAGUAAAACCACACUGAAACAAUGGCUGGUGGUCGAUUCCGCGAACUGAUGAAGAAAUAUGGCAAAGUGGCUCUCGGCGUUCACCUGAGCGUUUCCACAGUUUCCAUCGCCAGUCUAUACGUUGCCAUAAAGAACAACGUCGACGUCGAAGCCAUCCUCGAGAAGUUCCACAUGGGUGCCGUCUCCGACCAGAAAAAUCCUAACUCUACCGACGAAGACGUCUCUCAACCUUCUAAGAACCGGACGGCGCAGCUCGCCGCCUCCGCCGGUGGAGCCUUCACGCUUGCUAUCCUCUGCAACAAGGCGCUUUUCCCCGUGCGCGUUCCCAUAACCGUCGCGCUCACUCCCCCAAUCGCAAGGUUCCUGGCGCGGAGGAACAUCGUCAAGAGCGGUGUGUGACCUAGAUUCGCAUAUCCAAUCCUUGGGUGAAUGUGGAGUUUAUCAGGGUGACCUUUAGGUGAUUGAAAUUGAGAUACGUCAAAUGGUGUAUACAGUAUAUCUAUGGUGCAAUUGUUCCUUGUUAACAAAACCUUGGUAUGAUGGUUUCAUGAAAAGCUGAUUUGCCAAAUCUCUGAACUAUUUUGAUUGACUGAAAAUAUGCUAUGGUCUCCAUCUUCUGUUGGAUCAUAUUCUCAGAUGACAACUCACCUCUGUAACACACAUAAAACAAACACUUCAUCUCAUCAACACGAGCCAAUUGUUUAACUUCCUUGGGCAGAAAAUUGUUUAAUAUUAUGUCAUAUUAGGGCCUUAGGAGCCAUAUUUUUGGGUUUGGGGGCGGGUUGUGAAGGACUUAGCUAAAGCAUUCAGCACAAGUUUGAGUUGAUUUUAUUUUUC